AUGCCAUUCAUCAGCAAACACUAUUUGCAAACAAAUAUCCUGUUUUCCUCGGUUUACAAAGACAACUCAGUGUCGAGGGAACUGAAGACUGGGGUGUGCUGGACUAACACAAAUUUAACUGAAGCCAAGAAUGCCCUGGUUUGGCUCUGGAAAGAGUAAUAAGCAGCCAAGGACAUUUGGAAGGCCAAAUCUAAACCACUCAAGACACUGCCCUUUCCAGACAAAAGGAGUGUAUUUAUGGCUUCUGCAGUUCAUCAUCUACAAUCAAACAAGAAAUUAUAUACCAUUCUUGGCAAAAAAAAAGCCAAUAUACAGUGACAUAGUUCUUCCUCAAUUAAAAAGUUACAGCUUUGUGUUUUCUUGAGAAAAUACAAAUAUUUCUGAAAUCACAGCAUAUGUAGCGUUUAUUGUUUUUCUUGGACAGUAAGUUAUAAAGAAGUAGCUUAUGAAUCAGUAGCUAGAAGUUUUACUUCCUGGUUUCUAUUAAAUCUUAUGCUAUUUGCUCCUGAUUUAGGGCCCAGGAAAAGCAAUUAUAACUUGCAUGCACCAACUUGCUGAGUUACUGAGCCAGUUUAUCUUUGCUUGUCUAAACAAAGGACUGUAAAGCAUAAAAAAGUGAUUUAAAGAAUUUUUGCACUGAGUUGUCACUUUGAACUCUUAUAACCACAGAAAAUUGUACCAUAUCUCAAAUUUAAAACAAAGUAAACCAAAAACCUCACCACAAUUUUCUUUUUCUGUGAAAUUUUCUGUCAUAAGAAGAUAUGUUCAGAAAGGUCUAAUAUUGAUAUGACAUUUUCUCUAAGAGUGUUCUGCAAAAACACCUAAGAAGUUUCCUGAAACUGGCACAAGAUUUUGUUUUAGCUGCCUAAGUUAGAUUACAGCAAGUCAAACACUCUGUAUAUUUCAGAAAAAUAUGCUGAUGGGUGAACCUAUCAAGAAAGGAUUUACCUAAAUGCUGUUCUCUCAAGAUGAUAGUAGUAAAUGAGUCCUUUGUAGGAAGGCUAUUUCAAAAGCCAAAAGUUGUUACACUACAUAUAUAAUGAUAAUGAGCUGUUAGAAAACUUCCUGCUCACUAUGAACUUUGAAUAAACAGUUAAAUCCUAAGUUAGCUCUUCA
rnacentral:lncRNA from 1 species